UGGGGAAUAUUGCGCAAUGGGGGAAACCCUGACGCAGCCAUGCCGCGUGAGUGAAGAAGGUCUUCGGAUCGUAAAGCUCUUUCAACGGUGAAGAUAAUGACGGUAGCAGGUAAAGAAACCCCGGCUAACUCCGUGCCAGCAGCCGCGGUAAUACGGAGGGGGUUAGCGUUGUUCGGAAUUACUGGGCGUAAAGCGCACGUAGGCGGACCAGAAAGUUGGGGGUGAAAUCCCGGGGGCUCAACCCCGGAACUGCCUCCAAAACUAUUGGUCUAGAGUUCGAGAGAGGUGAGUGGAAUUCCAAGUGUAGAGGUGAAAUUCGUAGAUAUUUGGAGGAACACCAGUGGCGAAGGCGGCUCACUGGCUCGAUACUGACGCUGAGGUGCGAAAGUGUGGGGAGCAAACAGGAUUAGAUACCCUGGUAGUCCACACCGUAAAACGAUGAAUGCCAGUCGUCGGGUAGCAUGCUAUUCGGUGACACACCUAACGGAUUAAGCAUU
rnacentral:rRNA from 1 species